rnacentral:misc_RNA from 1 species
CCGAAAUUAAAACUCACAACGCGAGUCUCGUGCGGAAGCAAAUAUGACUGCCGAGACUUUGUGACUCUUCAAGUCUUCCUUUGCUCAAGUCAAACCACACUCGUGAAGCACAUGUGACGAGUCUGUGGUGAGCAUCGGGAGCACUGCGUUUCCUUCGGGAUUCACAGUCUAAAAAACGAAUUGUAAAAGUAUAUAUAUAACAAAAAAAGACGAAAAAAU